GUCUACGGCCAUGCCGCCCUGAACAAGCCCGAUGUCUGAUCUCGGAAGCCAAGCAGGGCCGGACCUGGUUAGGACUUGGAUGGGAGACCACCUAGGAAGACCAGGUGCUAUAGGAA
rnacentral:rRNA from 1 species